rnacentral:rRNA from 1 species
UACGAGGGGGGCAAGCGUUGUUCGGAAUUAUUGGGCGUAAAGGGUGCGUAGGUGGCGCGUUAAGUCAGGUGUGAAAUUUCGGAGCUUAACUCCGAAACUGCAUUUGAUACUUGGCGUGCUUGAGGACUGGAGAGGAGACUGGAAUUUACGGUGUAGCGGUGAAAUGCGUAGAUAUCGUAAGGAAGACCAGUGGCGAAGGCGGGUCUCGUGGACAGUUCCUGACGCUGAGGCACGAAGGUCAGGGGAGCAAAACGGGG